rnacentral:rRNA from 1 species
AAAUAGAACUUUGCAGAGAGAGUUAAGAGGGCGUGAAACCGUUAAUUGGCAAACGAAUCGGAGCCACGAAGUCGUUUCGCUGAUAGUUGGGUCUAGUUCAGUUAGUGUAGCUUGCUGCACUGGCGCAUUCUAAGACUUCCAACCAAUCUUUGUAAGCGUACACUGCAACCAGUUAGACAAUUGGCGGUGGGCACAGUUGCUGCAAGAGGAAGUAGUUUGACUGGGCCUCGUGCCUUGCUUGGGCUGCUGGCUUGUGUGCAAGUGAACUAUUGCCAAAUACUGACUGGUACAAUGAAAAUCGACAUUACAUGUCGUUGUAAAGACAAUGCUCGUGCAUUGCGUGUUACUACAUGCUUAGCGCGUAAGUUUUUUAAGCUCAGCAUUUUUGAAUUUAGACUUGCUAGCUACCAAUGGGGUAACUCUUGGUGCUAGUAUAGCUUCUAUCUAAUCGAAUGUUGACUUGGCUUCCGCUUGUCUAGGUAUGCUUCGAUAAGUGGCGCGCACUAGUACGUUCGCAAUUUGAAUUAGCAGUGAGUAGGUCGGCUUUCCGAACGACCCGUCUUGAAACACGGACCAAGGAGUCUAGUUAGGUAUCGAGUCGAUCGGUCUUGAUUAGGCCAGAUAAGUGGGGUGCUCACUGGUGAAGGCGUAGAGAAUCAUGUGAUUUUCCUGACUACGCCAAACGCAACAUGUGCCUGCUGUUAUGCUAUUGUUAAUAUUUAAUGUAACAAGUAGGCGGAGUAAAGAGAUACCUGAUUGGUACCCGAAAGAUGGUGAUGCUUGGGCAAAUUGAAGCCAGAGGAAACUCUGGUGGAGGAUUGUAGCGAUUCUGACGUGCAAAUCGAUCGUCAGACCUGAGUAUAGGGGCGAAAGACUAAUCGAACCAUC